rnacentral:rRNA from 1 species
CGCAUCUGUGCAUGCAGCAUAUCAAUAAGCGGAGGAAAAGCGUAACAUGUAUACCUACGCUUAGGAUGUUGACACACGCGCGUGCUCGAUGAUAGUCUAUACAUGACUCUGUGCAUAUCAAUAAGCGGAGGAAAAGAGGGCUAAUACCUACGCUUAGGAUGUUGACACACGCGCGUGCUCGACUCUAUACAUGACUCUGUGCAUAUCAAUAAGCGGAGGAAAAGAAACUAACAAGGAUUCCCUUAGUAACGGCGAGUGAAGCGGGAAGAGCUCAAAUUUGAAAUCUUCAAGGUUUUACCUUGACGAAUUGUAGUUUAAAGAAGUGUUUUCUGUUGAAGUUUUGGUAAAAGUUCUUUGGAAUAGGACAUCAUAGAGGGUGAGAAUCCCGUAUUUGACCAUUAUUUUCAGCUGUGUGAUACACUUUCAAAGAGUCGGAUUGUUUGGGAAUGCAGUCCAAAAUGGGUGGUAAAUUUCAUCUAAAGCUAAAUAUUGGCGAGAGACCGAUAGCGAACAAGUACCGUGAGGGAAAGAUGAAAAGAACUUUGAAAAGAGAGUUAAACAGUACGUGAAAUUGUCAAAAGGGAAGCGUUUGACACCAGUGUUGUUUUCUCGAAAAUCAAUUAAAAAGAGUUUGAUUUUGUUGUGUAUUGACCUUAACAGCUUGCAUUUCAAUUUUCUUGCUUUUUUUAAUGCACUUUUCGUUUAACAAGUCAACAUCAGUUUCUUUUGUCGUAAAAAGGUCAUUGGAAGGUGGCUUUCUUUUCGGAGAAAGUGUUUAUAGCCUUUGACUCCUGCAAUCGGAGAGACUGAGGUCUGCAGCGUAGAUCCUUCGGGGUUAGAUACAUUUGUGCUAAGUUAUAGCUUUUUAUAGACAACUUGUUGACUAUGAUUAGUCUUGUAGCUUACUCGCUUAUGCUAUUUUACCUACGCUUAGGAUGUUGACACACGCGCGUGCUCG